GAAGGGCAUCAUAGUAUUAACAGGUGGUAAGAUGAUGCAAAAGGCCAAGUUCUACUCUGGUUAUGUCAGUUUUAAAAGCACUUCAACAACCUGCUCCAGUGGAUGUUUCAAGUCCAAAGAAAAUUGAGGUAGAUAAGAAGAAAGAAGCAUGUGUUAGUACGACAAAUACACGACGUACUUUAAAAGUUAUUGAACAUGGGAAAACACGUAUGUUGUUUCAUUUUAUGUAAUACACAUGUGUUUGCUUUUAA